GAUGAACGCUGGCGGCGUGCUUAACACAUGCAAGUCGAGCGAAGCGCUUUGACGGAUUUCUUUGGAUUGAAGUCUUAGUGACUGAGCGGCGGACGGGUGAGUAACGCGUGGGUAACCUGCCUCAUACAGGGGGAUAACAGUUGGAAACGACUGCUAAUACCGCAUAAGCGCACAGUACCGCAUGGUACGGUGUGAAAAACUCCGGUGGUAUGAGAUGGACCCGCGUCUGAUUAGGUAGUUGGUGGGGUAACGGCCUACCAAGCCGACGAUCAGUAGCCGACCUGAGAGGGUGAACGGCCACAUUGGGACUGAGACACGGCCCAAACUCCUACGGGAGGCAGCAGUGGGGAAUAUUGCACAAUGGGGGAAACCCUGAUGCAGCAACGCCGCGUGAGUGAAGAAGUAUUUCGGUAUGUAAAGCUCUAUCAGCAGGGAAGAAAAUGACGGUACCUGACUAAGAAGCCCCGGCUAACUACGUGCCAGCAGCCGCGGUAAUACGUAGGGGGCAAGCGUUAUCCGGAUUUACUGGGUGUAAAGGGAGCGUAGACGGCGAAGCAAGUCUGAAGUGAAAGCCCGGGGCUUAACCCCGGGACUGCUUUGGAAACUGUUUUGCUAGAGUGCUGGAGAGGUAAGUGGAAUUCCUAGUGUAGCGGUGAAAUGCGUAGAUAUUAGGAGGAACACCAGUGGCGAAGGCGGCUUACUGGACAGUAACUGACGUUGAGGCUCGAAAGCGUGNGGAGCAAACAGG
rnacentral:rRNA from 1 species